rnacentral:rRNA from 1 species
GAUGAACGCUGGCGGCGUGCCUAAUACAUGCAAGUCGAGCGAACGGACGAGAAGCUUGCUUCUCUGAUGUUAGCGGCGGACGGGUGAGUAACACGUGGAUAACCUACCUAUAAGACUGGGAUAACUUCGGGAAACCGGAGCUAAUACCGGAUAAUAUUUUGAACCGCAUGGUUCAAAAGUGAAAGACGGUCCUGCUGUCACUUAUAGAUGGAUCCGCGCUGCAUUAGCUAGUUGGUAAGAUAACGGCUUACCAAGGCAACGAUGCAUAGCCGACCUGAGAGGGUGAUCAGCCACACUGGAACUGAGACACGGUCCAGACUCCUACGGGAGGCAGCAGUAGGGAAUCUUCCGCAAUGGGCGAAAGCCUGACGGAGCAACGCCGCGUGAGUGAUGAAGGUCUUCGGAUCGUAAAACUCUGUUAUUAGGGAAGAACAUAUGUGUAAGUAACUGUGCACAUCUUGACGGUACCUAAUCAGAAAGCCACGGCUAACUACGUG